AAGAAAGAAGGGAUACUGGUCUGUAGUUGUUGACAUCGGAGGGAUCGAGUGUAGGUUUUUUCAGAAGGGGUGCAACUCUCGCUCUCUUGAAGACGGAAGGGACGUAGCCAGCGGUCAAGGAUGAGUUGAUGAGCGAGGAUUAAGGAGGGAGGAGAAGGUAGCAAAGAGCUUCCUAGGGUUAGAGGCAGAUGCAUAUAUCAGCUCAAUUGGAAAUGACCUUUUUUUAUUUUUUUUUUAUUUUUUUUCAAUCACCCAAUCUGUACCGCUUCAGCCACCCAGACUGAAUGGAACCAUUACUGUAGAAGUCAUACAUUUACAUUUUAGUCAUUUAGCAGACGCUCUUAUCCAGAGCGACUUACAGUAGUGAGUACAUACAUUUCAUACUUAUUUUUAUUUUUAUUUUUUCCCCCCGUACUGGUCCCCCGUGGCAAUCGAACCCACAACCCUGGCGUUGCAAACACCAUGCUCUACCAACUGAGUCAUGUGUGAACCACUGCUGAUUAUACAGUACUAGAGGACGUUCCAUAACCAUGUACACUUAGUCAAUGUAUCUGUUGCUCUCCACUAUGGAUGGAUUCAUGGUUACUGUUUCCAGACCUGUAGAUAGAUAGUGUAAAGUAGCUCUGGUGUGUUGGUACUGUAAGUGUUUUGAACUGUUUCCAGACCUGUAGAUAGAUAGUGUAAAGAAGCUCUGGUGUUGGUAUUGUGAAGUGUUUUGAACUGUUUCCAGACCUGUAGCUUGUGCUUUUUACAAACUAAUGGGGUUAUUCUACACUGUUGGUAUGAUUAUUUACUCAUCUGAUUUUAAUUGUCUCGUAUUAAAUCAGUGCCUUUUUAUCCCAGCAUAGUUUGUUGUGUAUUUUGUAACGCCAUAAGAUUUAAUAUAAUACCUCCAUUUUAGAUGAAGUCCUUCUAUGGUUGUGUGGUCUGUUGGGUGGUUUUGGCUCUACUUUUGUCAUGGUAAACCAUGUUUACUUAGGUGGAGUAGAUCCAUCCUAUCAGAGCCUUCUUUCAGCACUUUAUUUUAAAGAUAUCUGGGGAAUUAAUUUCACAGAACUAGAAGAGAUUGUCUACGUUUUAUAUUCAUCAACUUCUUUGACAAUACUAAUAAAUAUUAAAUAAGUGUUUUUAAUUAUCUCGUCUCCUUUUAUUACAGCUAAGGUAUUAUUGCAAAGCAGUCCUUCUAAAUCUCGUUUAGCUGUAGCGAAAGUACCAAAGCCCAUGCAAAGCCCAACUCCUAGCAGGUCUGUUCUUCAACCACUAGAUGGCAGACAUUUCAUUGUUUUUCUGAGUCUGAGAGGUGAGGUUUGUUAGUACGCCACAGUAAAAGCCACAUACCGUAACUUCCCAAAGAGUAGUAAAUUACAAC
rnacentral:lncRNA from 1 species